AAUACGUCCCUGCUUCUUGCAUACACCGCCCGUCGCUCCAUGCGAGCGGAUCUGGGGUGAGGCACUGUCCUUUUUGGGUGGUGACGAAUCUUGGGUUCGCAAGUAGGGAGAAGUCGUAACAAGGUAUCCGUAGCGGAAGCUGCGGAUGGAUCACCUCCUACGC
rnacentral:rRNA from 1 species